rnacentral:rRNA from 1 species
CCUACGGGAGGCAGCAGUGGGGAAUAUUGCACAAUGGGCGCAAGCCUGAUGCAGCGACGCCGCGUGAGGGAUGGAGGCCUUCGGGUUGUAAACCUCUUUUAUCGGGGAGCAAGCGAGAGUGAGUUUACCCGUUGAAUAAGCACCGGCUAACUACGUGCCAGCAGCCGCGGUAAUACGUAGGGUGCAAGCGUUAUCCGGAAUUAUUGGGCGUAAAGGGCUCGUAGGCGGUUCGUCGCGUCCGGUGUGAAAGUCCAUCGCUUAACGGUGGAUCCGCGCCGGGUACGGGCGGGCUUGAGUGCGGUAGGGGAGACUGGAAUUCCCGGUGUAACGGUGGAAUGUGUAGAUAUCGGGAAGAACACCAAUGGCGAAGGCAGGUCUCUGGGCCGUUACUGACGCUGAGGAGCGAAAGCGUGGGGAGCGAACAGGAUUAGAUACCCUGGUAGUCCACGCCGUAAACGGUGGAUGCUGGAUGUGGGGCCCGUUCCACGGGUUCCGUGUCGGAGCUAACGCGUUAAGCAUCCCGCCUGGGGAGUACGGCCGCAAGGCUAAAACUCAAAGAAAUUGACGGGGGCCCGCACAAGCGGCGGAGCAUGCGGAUUAAUUCGAUGCAACGCGAAGAACCUUACCUGGGCUUGACAUGUUCCCGACGGUCGUAGAGAUACGGCUUCCCUUCGGGGCGGGUUCACAGGUGGUGCAUGGUCGUCGUCAGCUCGUGUCGUGAGAUGUUGGGUUAAGUCCCGCAACGAGCGCAACCCUCGCCCCGUGUUGCCAGCGGAUUAUGCCGGGAACUCACGGGGGACCGCCGGGGUUAACUCGGAGGAAGGUGGGGAUGACGUCAGAUCAUCAUGCCCCUUACGUCCAGGGCUUCACGCAUGCUACAAUGGCCGGUACAACGGGAUGCGACGCGGCGACGCGGAGCGGAUCCCUGAAAACCGGUCUCAGUUCGGAUCGCAGUCUGCAACUCGACUGCGUGAAGGCGGAGUCGCUAGUAAUCGCGAAUCAGCAACGUCGCGGUGAAUGCGUUCCCGGGCCUUGUACACACCGCCCGUCAAGUCAUGAAAGUGGGCAGCACCCGAAGCCGGUGGCCUAACCCCUUGUGGGAUGGAGCCGUCUAAGGUGAGGCUCGUGAUUGGGACUAAGUCGUAACAAGGUAGCCGUACCGGAAGGUGCGGCUG